GGGCAAUAGAUUUUUAAGUCCCAU
rnacentral:misc_RNA from 1 species